CUCACCUGUGCUGUCUCCUCUCCAGAUUCUCAGGUCACCAUGAACCAGGGCAAAGUUUCCCAGCAUCGGCCCUCGCUCCAUCGGGUGCAGCAUCGAGACAGAGGGCGAAUCGCCACAGAAUCGGGUUGGGUUUCCUGCUCUGCCACAAACAAGGGGACGUCUGUGGUGCGAGGCCAGGAGGCUGCUGUGAUGUAUGGGAGGACGGAGGGAGGCCUUCAGAUCACACAUCACACGGACAGAUGGAAACGCAAACACACAGAGAGUCAGUGGAGUCACGUGACACCAGUCACGUAAUGAGCCGUCUAUUUAAAGUACUUCUUUCCGUUUAUUUCCAUUUAUUCUAAGGAAAACACAUAUUUCAUCAGUAACUGCUCGAAUUCUCUGUUUAUUAAUUUAAAAUAUUUUUAUUGCCUCAUGCUCUGUCUGGAAUUAAACAGUUGCCUACUGUAAUAACAGUAAGGUUAUUGUUUCC